CGAGUUCCCGUACGAUCACUGAGGUUAAGCAACGUCGAGCUUGGUCAGUACCUAGAUGGGUGACCGCUUGGGAAUACCAGGUGCUGUAAG
rnacentral:rRNA from 1 species